GCCUGGGUGGGUCAGUCAGUUGAGCGUCUGACUUCGGCUCAGGUCAUGAUCUCGCAGUUUGUGGGUUCGAGCCCCACGUCGGGCU
rnacentral:tRNA from 1 species